AUCUGGUACUUUCAGUAUCCGAGUUGUAAUUUGUAGAAGCAACUUUGGUGAUGGUCUUUGCAUAAGUUCCUUGGAAUAGGACGUCAUAGAGGGUGAGAAUCCCGUUUAUGGUGAAGAACCCACACUAUGUAAAGUGCUUUCGAAGAGUCGAGUUGUUUGGGAAUGCAGCUCAAAGUGGGUGGUAAAUUCCAUCUAAAGCUAAAUAUUGGCGAGAGACCGAUAGCGAACAAGUACUGUGAAGGAAAGAUGAAAAGAACUUUGAAAAGAGAGUGAAAAAGUACGUGAAAUUGUUGAAAGGGAAGGGAUCUAAAUCAGACAUGGUAUUUUGUGAUCAACAGUCUUUCGGGACUGUGCACUCGCAUUUUACUAGGCCAGCAUCGGUUAGAAGGGGGUAAAAAAGAUUUUGGAAUGUGGCUCCUCGGAGUGUUAUAGCCAAGGUUAAUUGCCCCAUUUCUGAC
rnacentral:rRNA from 1 species